AAGAACCUGCUAUGUAAAUCUGAAUACUGUAAACCAUGCACCAUGAAUCUUUUAAAAUCUAGUUUUCCUAUUAAUGGUGCCUAAAUGCUUAAGAGCAGACUCACAAAUUAGGAGGGGGAAGGGAGCCCUCUGGGACCUUUUCUGUGAGAAACUUUUGUGCUACAAUUUCUACUGAACCUGCAUUUGGAGGAUCAGCAGCAGAUUCAGCAGGAAUGGAAGCAGAGAACUGGGUCCUUUGGCAGACAGACCUAACUUUCCAACCACAAUAAAGACUGAUGUCUUAAGGUUGGAUAAAUACUCCUGAAAUUAUUGAGUUUAUCACAGAAAAGGGACCCUGAAAAGAAAAGUCAUUCUUGAGUUAAAGCUACAAACAACUGUGAAUUGUAAUAAGUGUUCUAAAGGAAAUGUGCACAGUACUAUGAUCAUGUCUUUUUUCCUGUGAAAAUGUCUGCAAUGGGAUUGACUUGGUCUAGGAGUGUUAGAGGAGUUUUCUUGUUUUUUUUUUUCCAGGCAGGGUCUGGCUCUAGCACCCAGGCUGGAGUGCAGUGGUGUGAUUUCGGCUCGCUGCAGCCUCCAACUCCGGAGCUCAAUCAAUCCUCCCACCUCAGCCUCCUGAGUAGCUGGGAUUACCAGUGCAUGCCACCAUGCCCAGCUAGUUUUGUAUGUUUUGUAGAGACGGGGUCUUUCCAUGUUGCCCAGGCUGGUCUUGAACUCCUGGACUCAAGAGAUCCUCCCACCUUGGCCUCCCAAAGUGCUGGGAUUACACGUGUGAGCCACUGUGCCCGGCCAGAGGAGUUUUCUUGAAGUGACUCUUUCCCUUAUCUAAUAUUGCACAACAAACUACCCUAAAACAUAAUAGCACAAAGUAACAAGCUUAAAGAAGACAAAAGAGAUAUAGAGAGGAACCACUUUAUUUGCACACAAUUUUGUAAUUCGGGCUGGGCUCAGAUGGUCAGUUUCUCUGGUCUUGUCAGUGGUCACUCAGGAGGCUGCAUCCAGCUGGCACUUAGGCUAGGCCACAGCUGGGAUUCUCUCAUGUAAUCUUUCCAUUUGGUCUCUCCAGCAGGAUAAUCAGACCUUUAAUAUGUUGGCUCAAGCCUUCCAAGAGCACAAAAAUAGAAGCUGCCAGCCUUUCCUAAGGCUUAGGCUUGGAACUGACACAGCAUCAUAUCUGCUGAAUUCCACUGGUUAAAUCAGUCCACCCAGAGUUCAGGAGAGGGGACUAUCACACAAGGGCAUGAAUACUGGAAGAUGGAAUUCAUCAGGGGCCACCUUGUAACAAGCUAUUAGAAUGACCUUAGGCAGCAACCUCAAAGGCUCCGUGCUCUUCCAGCUUCUAGGCCUUUUAAUAUACUGCUUCCUUGUCCUGGCAUGCCCUUCUCCUUCAGUUUUCCUUUUAUCAGUACAGCAUAGUAAUUGGGUCACACCUUCUUUCAAAUCCUGACUCCUCUGUUUGCUAGCCAGGAUGUUAAGCAAGUAACUUAACCUCUUGAGCUUUAUUUUCCGCUCCUGGAAAAUGGAGAUAAUAACAACCACGACCUCUGAGACCUAAUGUAAAGAUUGUUUUGUUUUUGAGACAGGGUCUCACUCUGUUGCCCAGGCUGGAGUGCCGUGGCACCAUUACAGCUCACUGCAGCCUCAGUCUCCCCAGACUUAGGUGAUCAUCCCACCUCAGCGUCCCGAGUAGCUGGGACUACAGGCAUGCACCACCACACCUGGCUAAUUUUUGUACUUUCUUUUUGGAGACUGACUUUCGCCAUGUUGCCCAGGGUGGUCUUGAACUCCUAGGCUUGAGGGAUCCUCCCGCCUUGGCCUCCCAAAGUGCUGGGAUCCAGGCAUGAGCCACCACACCCAGCCUAGUAUAAAAACUGAAUGAGAAAGCAAAUGUAAAACCCUUAGUGAAAUGCCUGGCAUAAAGGAAAGGCCCACUUAAUGCCAGCUAUCGCUGCACUCAAAAUUCAAGUGUCGUGUUAAGUCAUUGCUCUCUUGACUUCUAUGGUUGGCUGAAUGAUAGCUCCCCAAAGAGG
rnacentral:lncRNA from 10 species